AAAUCAAGGCCGAAUCGCCCCCCACACUAGAAAGGUAAAGCUUUUUUGCAUUUUUUGGUGGUUGUGAGCAGCGGUGGAGCGGGGUUGGUGUCAGGCUAGCCGCACGAGCUCGACCAGGCCCCCCACUUGCGUUGGAACUGUGGAGGUUUCCUUGGGAAUGGGAAAAACCGACCCAUUCAGGAAGCCGAAGGGUAUUCCCUGAGCGUGAAAAAUCGAUCCACCAUUUUGAAUUCUGAUUUGCUGUUUGGGAAGCUGAAAAGUCUUCCUCAAAAAAUAGGAAUCCGGUUUACCGUCCAGGAAGCCAAAAAGUCUUUCUCGAAAAAUAAAAAUAUGAUUCGCCAAACAGAGAGUCGAAAGAUUUUUCGGAUACGGAUCCUGAUAGAUUCAGGUAUUUUGUUAGGUGGUCGUUGGAAUCCAUAAAUUGAUUAAAUUAAUUUUUGGUAUUUCGAAGUAUUUUAAUUAAUUAUGUCGUGUAUACAGAAAAAUUUAGACAUUCAGACGGAUUCAGGAAGACGUGUAGGAGAGUAAGUAUUUCUAAAUCUCAACCGGGUUUGAAUUUUUUGGAAUAUGCAUUCAUUUCAUUAAAUUAUAAAUUUUAAAAUUUGAACAGACAUUGACCUAAUUUUUGAUAAAAAAUAGAAUCCAAAUUAUGAUUAGUAAAUCUAAGCAAUUAGAACCCUAUGAGGAGACGAAACCAGAAAACAAACCCAAUGGAUUGAGAAUUAUUUGGACUGAUGAAAUCUGAAAUUAAAAAGAAAAAUUCCCAAAUAAGGAAAAAUUGAAAAAAAAUAAAAUAAAAUAAAAAUACAAAAAUAGAAAGGAAAAGAAAUAAUUGAGUAUAAGAAAUUGAUCAUUUAAAUAAAUUGAGAAUUUUAGAAUGAGAAGUAGGAGUGAAUAGGAUAGGGACCCUGAAUACCUUCUCGUUUAGUCUGAAUCGAGGUGGGGAGUGUGUGUGUAGCUAAAAUUCUGCGGACAUGGUAAACCUGUAUAUGUAUAUAGUCUGAAACCUAAAUCCAGACGUGGAUAGGCAUUCGUGUGAAUGUGGGCCACCUAGCAAACGUACCUGCUGCGGCCAUUGUGUAAUUUAUGUGUGUGCUAUUCAUAAGAUGGAGGGAUCCAUUUCGCCUUUUCUUGAUGAUGACAUAAACGGCAUUGCGCAAUGAAACUAUAGAAAUGACCAUUCAAGUGCAUCUAUGAUCUUUUUUUUAUAUGUGUGAUUAUGUUUCGAGAUUAUGAAUGAUAUUCGAAUGUAUCUGUGAUCUUUUGUAUGUGUGAUUAUGUUUCGAAAUGAUGAUUGAUAUUCGAGUGCAUUUAUGACUUUCGAGAGUAUGAGAAUAUAUAUUUGAGGUUUGUAUAUGAUAUUCGAAAGAAUUCAUCAGAUCGAUCAGAAACAUGUGAAAUAGUGAAAAUAAGAAUAUGGAAAUUGUAUUGAAAUAUUUUUAUUACUUUUGUUUCUUACCAUAUGUUUUUCAUGAAAUUUUAUCUAGGUUGAGAGAAUGAGAAUAUUUAUUGAGUUGGUGAAACACAUUAAAUUUUAUCCUGAUAUUUUUCAGAUAAGAAUGAAGAGCCAGUAUCGCUGUCAGACGAGUAGAACUUGUAAAAGAGUUUUUAUUUUUGUAUAUAUUGUGCGUAUUCGAAAAGUUUUAUUUUAUUAUGUUAGACUCUAAAUUUUAACAUUAUAUUAUAUAUAUAAUUACUGUACAUAUUACAUGGGAUAUUAGAGUGUAUUAUAUUUUUGACCCAUGCAUAUAUAUAUUUUAUGAG
rnacentral:lncRNA from 1 species